UACGUAGGGCGCAAGCGUUAUCCGGAAUUAUUGGGCGUAAAGAGCUCGUAGGCGGUUUGUCGCGUCUGCCGUGAAAGUCCGGGGCUCAACUCCGGAUCUGCGGUGGGUACGGGCAGACUAGAGUGAUGUAGGGGAGACUGGAAUUCCUGGUGUAGCGGUGAAAUGCGCAGAUAUCAGGAGGAACACCGAUGGCGAAGGCAGGUCUCUGGGCAUUUCCUGACGUAAGACGCGAAAGCGUGGGGAGCAAACAGG
rnacentral:rRNA from 1 species